rnacentral:tRNA from 1 species
AACAGGGUCAGCUAAUUAAGCUUCUGGGCUCAUUACCCAGCAAUGUAGGUUAAUGCCCUAUUCCUGUUG